rnacentral:rRNA from 2 species
GUCUAAGUAUAAGCAACUAUACGGUGAAACUGCGAAUGGCUCAUUAAAUCAGUUAUCGUUUAUUUGAUAGUACCUUACUACAUGGAUAACCGUGGUAAUUCUAGAGCUAAUACAUGCUAAAAACCCCGACUUCGGAAGGGGUGUAUUUAUUAGAUAAAAAACCAAUGCCCUUCGGGGCUCCUUGGUGAAUCAUAAUAACUUAACGAAUCGCAUGGCCUUGCGCCGGCGAUGGUUCAUUCAAAUUUCUGCCCUAUCAACUUUCGAUGGUAGGAUAGUGGCCUACCAUGGUAUCAACGGGUAACGGGGAAUUAGGGUUCUAUUCCGGAGAGGGAGCCUGAGAAACGGCUACCACAUCCAAGGAAGGCAGCAGGCGCGCAAAUUACCCAAUCCCGACACGGGGAGGUAGUGACAAUAAAUACUGAUACAGGGCUCUUUUGGGUCUUGUAAUUGGAAUGAGUACAAUUUAAAUCCCUUAACGAGGAACAAUUGGAGGGCAAGU